UGCAGUGAUGAUUGCUCUAUUUCUGACACCUCUUGUACGAGAAGCGCCUUGAUGCGCUUCGCUGAGCAGAUUGCAGCAAACAUAUCUGAGCA
rfam:Triticum aestivum genome assembly, contig: Triticum_aestivum_CS42_TGACv1_scaffold_542692_6DS